rnacentral:rRNA from 1 species
UACGAAGGGGGCUAGCGUUGUUCGGAAUUACUGGGCGUAAAGGGCGCGUAGGCUGUGCUGUAAGUCAGGCGUGAAAGGCCCGGGCUCAACCUGGGAACUGCGCAUGAUACUGCGGCGCUUGAAGGCGGGAGAGGAUGGCGGAAUUCCCAGUGUAGAGGUGAAAUUCGUAGAUAUUGGGAAGAACACCGGUGGCGAAGGCGGCCAUCUGGCCCGCAAUUGACGCUGAGGCGCGAAAGCGUGGGGAGCAAAC